CCUACGGGAGACUGCAGUGAGGAAUAUUGGUCAAUGGACGAGAGUCUGAACCAGCCAAGUAGCGUGAAGGAUGACUGCCCUAUGGGUUGUAAACUUCUUUUAUAUGGGAAUAAAAUGUUCCACGUGUGGGAUUUUGUAUGUACCAUAUGAAUAAGGAUCGGCUAACUCCGUGCCAGCAGCCGCGGUACUACGGAGGAUCCGAGCGUUCUCCGGAUGUAUUGGGUUUAAAGGGAGCGUAGGUGGAUUGUUAAGUCAGUUGUGAAAGUUUGCGGCUCAACCGUAAAAUUGCAGUUGAAACUGGCAGUCUUGAGUACAGUAGAGGUGGGCGGAAUUCGUGGUGUAGCGGUGAAAUGCUUAGAUAUCACGAAGAACUCCGAUUGCGAAGGCAGCUCACUGGACUGCAACUGACACUGAGGCUCGAAAGUGUGGGUAUCAAACAGGAUUAGAUACCCCAGUAGUC
rnacentral:rRNA from 1 species